UCCGGUUUGGCACCGGCAGUCUCCCUAGAGUUCCCGGCAUGACCCGCUGGCAACUAAGGAUAGGGGUUGCGCUCGUUGCGCCACUUAAGGCAACACCUCACGGCACGAGCUGACGACAGCCAUGCACCACCUGUGAUCCUGCCCCGAAAGGAGGCCCUGUUUCCAGAGCGGUCAGGAACAUGUCAAGCCUAGGUAAGGUUCUUCGCGUUGCGUCGAAUUAAACCACAUGCUCCACCGCUUGUGCGGGCCCCCGUCAAUUCCUUUGAGUUUCAGCCUUGCGGCCGUACUCCCCAGGCGGGGUACUUCCUGCGUUAGCGCCGGCACCCAGGGGGUCGCUCCCCCAGGCACCUAGUACCCAUCGUUUACGGCGUGGACUAC
rnacentral:misc_RNA from 1 species